AGCUGGUGGAAGCUAUUGGCAGAUACGAUGCCACGAGGAGAAGCCAUAAGGAUGUCAUGGGAGGAGUUCUUGGAACAGUUGAAAAUGCAGUACUGCUCGGAGAUAGAUCUGAUAGACCUAAACAACGAGUUUCAGAACCUGGAGAAAGGGAAGAUGAGUGUUGAUGAGUAUGCCACCGCAUUCACCGAGAGGAUGAAGUUGUUCCCCUACAUUGUGCCUACUGAACUCUCCAAGUUCGAUAGGUUUGCUAACGGACUGCCCACUGACUUUGGCCCAAUGGUCAAAAUGGCAACUACCUUGAAAACAGCUGUUAGGGCAGCUAAGAACGUAGAGGCCCAGAUAAGAGAAAAGGGUCUAGAAAAAGAUAAGGCAGGAGAGAAGCGAAAGUUUGAGGGAUCUUCGAGGUCGAACAAGGAAAGCAAAUUCUCAAAACUCGGAGGAGCAGAUGGAGGUGAAACAAGAUGGUGUGAUAAAUGCAAGAAGAAGCAUGGUGGGAAGUGCAACGAAGAAGUGACUUGUUACAAGUGUGGGAGGACGGGUCACUAUUCCAAAGACUGCACACAUAAUGACAAAGUAUGCUACGGAUGUGGAGGCAAGGGGCACAUGUCCAGAGACUGCCCAAGGAAAAAUAAAGCAGCAAGACCAGAAACGCCACCAAGGCCAAGGGCAUUUCACAUGAUCCUCGACGAAGCAGAGAACCAUGCGAGGAAUCAAGAAUGAGGACUUCUUACCCGAAGAUCGGAUUAUGCAGUAGCCAUAGUUUCGUAUGAUGUAGCCUAGUAGAGGCAUAGUCUAGGGUGAACUUGAACACCUAUGUAAUCGUUUCAAGAAUUAAUAUAAAACCUUCGUUUUGUUAUCUGAUGUGUCGAAUGAUUGUGUGAUUUGCUGCAUGGUGACUUGGGAAACUGCGAGACAAUACUUGGGACGAGUAUGAGUAGGUGUGAAUGGUAGUAGAGGCCUAUACUACCGGAAGCACAGGACUCACACUUGGAUCAGGGAAAGUCACAAGGUUACCAAGAAGCUAGUAAUUGAUUUCGUUUUAUUCAAGUGUGUUGUUACCAUCGUUUCGGUAAUGACUAAGAAGAUUGUUGAUAUUCCGACCCUAGUGGUCAUAUCGAAUCGAGUCCGACUACGAUGAGUAUGUUGUGUGGUUCAGAGAACCAAGUUUGAUGUAGCGUCCGACUUAAACCAAACGGUUGAAAUCAAAGCGAUCAAUAGAAGUAUCGCACUCGUUGUUAAAGAAGUUGGUGGCUAGAAAUGCCUAAUGUUAAAGUGUGAUUAUAUCACAUUAGAACAUGAAGGAAGGCAUAGUCUGUUUUAGAAUUUAACUCUAAGAGACCUAAGUCUAAGUGUUGCAACAUACGAUGAUAGGUCAUUAGAAUAUGACACAUCGAUCUAUAGUAGUAAUAAAAGAACUUAUCUCAAGUCCGUAUCCAGCAAGGAUCGAGAUUGUGACUUGAAGGUCAUAAUUUGGAGUCUAACCUGAGGUAGAGAGCAGGUGCACGAUCGAGUACUCUUACAGUCAAUGAGUUUAAGAGAUAGAAUCGAAGGAAUGUAGAAGUUAUAAUUAUUACCUAGGAUGAAGAGAUGACGUAUGGAGUCAUUAUACGACCCUGUUUCGUUGAUGAUUCCGGGACGUAAUCAUCCUAAGGGGGAGAUAAUUGUAACGCCCGCAAAUCUGGGCUAGUCAAAUUAGAGGCAAUAGGGGUCGAAAACGACUUUUCGACAAAAGAUUAUUUAGAAUAAAUAAUCUUAACCAAGUUGUAGAGUAUGUUACAAGGUUUUCGUACAUAUAAAGAACGCCGAAAACCGAGUUAUAACGAAGAAGUUAUGACCCGUUGAAGUUUCGCGACGGAACCGGCACGAUACCGGGAAGCGUAAAUAGUGAAUUUACGAUAGAGCGAGAUUUAGCCUUAGCGAUCUAAACGAAAGUCGUAGAAUAUGUUAAACUAAGAACAUCGAUAAAAAGAACGCCCAAAUCUGACUUCGUAUGAGGAAGUUAUGAUUUUUCUAAGAUUUAGCAUAGCAGUGCACAGCCCGAAAUCUGAAUUUUAGAUCGGUCGAUUUUUAGCCGACGGGAUCUAAAUGAAAGUUGUAGUACUCGUAAAUACCAACGCGUGGAUAUAAAGAACGUCGAUAAUAGAGCUCGUAUGCAAAAGUUAUGGACGAAGCUUAGUCCCUACUUUUCGAGCGCGGCGAAUUCGAUACAGUUUUGUAAAUACGAGAUAGAAUGAGAAUUAGCCAACGAGGUCUAAAUGAGAGUUGAAGAUCUCAUUAAUAGGAACUCAACGGUAAAAAGACAGACAAAAAUGGAGCUCGUAUGCGAAAGUUAUGGACGAAGCUUAGUCCCUACUUUUCGAGCGCGGCGAAUUUGAUACAGUUUUGUAAAUCCGAGAUAGAAUGAGAAUUAGCCAACGAGGUCUAAAUGAAAGUUGAAGAUCUCAUUAAUAGGAACUCAACAGUAAAAAGACAGACAAAAACGGAGCUCGUAUGCAAAAGUUACGGACGAAGCUUGGAGACUACUUUACUAUACACUUCCUAUAAAUACAAGGGUGAACUCCUCAUAUUUUCUUCACACCAUAAGCCUUUCUUUCUCUCUCUAACUUCUCUCUAACCUCCCUAAACCCCUCCCAAGUCUAGGGAACCUCCCUAUCACGAGAAGAAAGCCCCGGAGCGCCCGACGGCUCCGAGAAGAAAAGCUUUCGGCUCGGAAACGCUGCUCCAGCGAAGCCCGGUUUUUAAUAAAAACCCGCUGUAAGUGAGCUACGCCUAUAGUAUAUUUAAUAUAGAUUUUAUUUAAUUAUAGUAACAUUGUUAGGACCUUAAAAUAAUUAUUUAGGCUAUUAUUAUGAGUUAUAUUGAGUGUUAUUUAACGCUUAUAUAAUAGUAAUAAUAGCUAGACUAUUAAAUUAGUCUCGUCAAGCGUUAGACUAAACUCUAGUGGUAAUGAUACUAGGUUUCGUCAAGGGAUAAUUGUUUUAAGAGUAACGAAGUGCUGUCCGAGUGCCGACUCACCACCUUUCAGGUGAGUGCAUAGUCCCUUUCAUCUUACACAUAGAUAUGAAGUAUUUUAUAUAAACUACGUGCUAUGUGUGCACAUUAUCUGAAUACUUGCUGUCUAUGCUGGUUGAACGUUUUAUACAUGUUUUAAAGGACUUAAACUGUAUACGUAUUUUAUAUAUACGAAAAUGUUGGGUAUGAGAUGGGUAGAUGAAUGAUGAGAGAUAGAAGAUGACGUGAGUAUACAUUGGCAGCUAUAGACUUAGUGCCUAUGGGACAAACACCGGUAGCUAUGGACUUAGUACCUUUUAGACGUUGGUAGCUAUGGAUUUAGUACCUGUUGGGAAUUGGUAGCUAUGGACUUAGUACCUAUUAGUUAGACGCUGGUAGCUAAGGAUUUAGUACCUGUAGGAAUUGGUAGCUAUGGACUUAGUACCUGUUGAACAUUGGUAGCUAUGGACUUAGUACCUAUUAGAUAAAGACUGGUAGCUAUGGAUUUAGUACCCGAUGAAUAGACUAUAGCAGCUAUGGAAUUAGUGCUUUAUGAACGAACAUUGGCAGCUAUGGAUUUAGUGCCAGUCCCAUAACCCUGGAAGUAAGGGACUUCGGAAUAAACGAAUGCAGGAUAGAUGACUCUUAGGUUAAAUCCUUAAAGAGUAAAGAAGAUAAUGGGGAUGGGUAAUUGGGUUGAUUGUUUGAUUGAACAUAAUAAUUAUAUUAUUGUGGGUUGAAAACCCUAUGUACUCACCAGGUUUCCCAACCUGACCCACUCAGUUUAUGUAUAUCACAGGUGACGAAGUGAAGUGACAUUACACUGAGAGAUUUAAAAGAGAUGUAGAUCACUAGUGUAAAUCAUUGUAAGUUCUGUUUAUGCUUAUGUUUCGGUAUUAACGAUGACAUCCCAAACAUUUUAAAAUGAAAUAAAUACGUUUCUUCGAAAAUGUUUUAAUAACGUAUUUACCAUGUUUUUCUGGGAACAAAUUCCGCAACCUUUUUAUAAAAUGAAGUACUCUGAUUUUUAUAAAGCAUAAACAAAAUCGGUCUUUUCUGGCCGUGAUUUUGGGGAUGUCACAGUUGGUAUCAGAGCAUUAGUUUAAGCGAACUAGGAAUAUGGAUUUAUUUCUAGACUUAAACUUAGAAUGCUAAGCGAUGAUUGUGAGGUGUGAGCACUAGCUUAUUUUAGGAAUUGUGCCUAAAAUGCUUUUAUGUGCUAAAUGCUUUGUGCAUGAUAUGUUGUUAAUUGUUCGGAUCUAUGGUCUGUUGCCGACCGGAUCUGGAAACCUUAUGUGUUUAGGAUUCUAAACGUACGACUACGGUAUUAGAACUAGCAUGUAAACGUUUCGGAGUGAUAAGGAUGAUUUAAACGUCAAGUAAAGGUCUAAAUUCACCUUAUUCGGUGUAUAGAUCGAGAUGGUAAGGACCCGUAGCGGAAACGUAAACGCAAAUGGGAACAGGAACCAACCCCCAGUGGUUCAGCAAAUACCUGUUGUAGAAGAAGUUGCGCCUGAGCCAGUCACCAUGGCUGGAGUUCAAGCCAUGAUUCGGGCUAUGUUGGCUGAACAAAGGGAAGAAAUGAGACGGAUGUUGAAUAGGGACGAACCUACUAUGCCCAUUGAGCAACCCGAACUGAUUCCCGAGCAAUCUGAGGAAGGGAACUACAGCCGCCAAGUGAGUCAAGUUGGGACUCAAGGUGAGCAAAGGGAUGGCCCAGAAGGGAGAAACAACAAGGAUGGGCGGAUGUACAAGAAUUUCUUGGGUGCGAAACCCCCAAGUCUCUCAGGAAGCCCGAAGCCGGUUGAGAUUAUGGAUUGGAUCUCUGAGAUGGAGAUGGUGUUUGAGAGCUGCAGCUGUAACGAGAAACAGAAGACUGUCUUCGCUGUAAGACAACUGAAAACUGGAGUCUUGAGCUGGUGGAAGCUAUUGGCAGAUACGAUGCCACGAGGAGAAGCCUUAAGGAUGUCGUGGGAAGAGUUUUUGGAACAGUUGAAAAUGCAGUACUGCUCAGAGGUAGAUCUGAUAGACCUAAACAACGAGUUUCAGAACCUGAAGAAAGGGAAGAUGAGUGUUGAUGAGUAUGCCACCGCAUUCACCGAGAGGAUGAAGCUAUUCCCCUACU
rnacentral:lncRNA from 1 species